UUUACUUCUAACGGUGCUAAGCCAGCUGCGGCAGAGGAAGCUCCCAGCCUGCGCCUGCCCGCCGGUGCCUCCCACUCACCUGCUAUUAAGGCUUUCUCCCAGUGACGCUGCACUCCCUCGCCAAAGCCCUGCGCCGCCCGCAGUCGCCUCCUGCCGGCUCCAGGUGUGCCCCCUCGCCAGGGAGCGGGCGCCGUCUUCCUCACGUAGGCCUGUCGUCGCAGCCGCAGCUCACGGUCUCCACAGGGAACAACUUCGUCUUAAAGUCAACUCAUGAAAGUUCUACUUGGUCCAUGUCUGCAUACAUCUGCUGCUCUCUACCUCCAGGGUCAUAUGAAGCAGAAGGAUCCAGCAUGGAGGCGCCUGCAGGGCCUUGGCUCCAGGACAGGACAGUGUACGGAAAGGUUCCCGUGAGGAGCACACCCCCUUUGUGCCCCGACUGAGGCGGGGCCUCCGCUUCUCCAGGCCUUUGACCUUCAGCUGCAGACCAGAGGCUUCUCUUCUGUGACAUCCCCUGUGGCUGACUCUACAUCUUCAGGUCCAAACAAGAAGCCCAGCAUGUGGUUGGUUGACUUGCAUUUUGGAGGACUCAUAUUCCACUCCUGGGACUAUUGCUAGCUCCCAUCUAUGGGACUGCAUGGAAGAAAGCCGUAUGUGAGUGGCUCCUGAACAAAAGCAGGCCAUUUCCGUAUUAGAAAUGGCAGUUACGCUCUUGACUCCUUUGGGCCCUUAUGACCUCCACUCAGACAUGACUUUGGAAGUGUCUGACCCCCACAGCCCUGCACACUGGAGCUUGUGGCUAAAGCCCAAGAGUGUGCCUCCCAGCUGUGACUGGAUUUUGGAUCAGAAAAUCCCCAAUUGCUGCUGCCUGGUAUACACCAUUUGAAAGACAAUUAUUAGCAUGGUCUUGGGCCUUAAUUGAGGCUGUCUCCGUGACAGAGGACAUGAAAUAUUUUUGAAGCCUGAGAUAACCCAUAAUGUCAUGGGUGAUGUCAGAGAAACAUGCUGAUAGGGAAGGCAGCACCCCGAAGAGUUCUGUAACCAAACUGAAAUUGUUUGUGCAGGAGCAGGCUGCCCGGGGAAUGCUAGGAGGCCCACACGAUACCCGUGAGCAGGUCGCGUUUCCUCUCAGACAGACACUGGAGCCCCCCUGAUGAGGUGCCGGAACCCACUGCUGCAUGGGCUGUGCCGUAGGAACAGCUCUCGGCUGAACGACAAAGAGCUGCUUGGUUUGCGGAUGGUAGUUCCAGGCGGAAUGGACAAUACCCUGUUUGGAAAGCGGCUGCCUUAAGACCGCAGGUGGCAAGACUCUGGUUGGGAGGAAGGAGGAGCAAAUCAGCUCAGUCGGCUGAAAUGCAAGCUGUUUUCCUUGCAGUGAUGGAAGAAUUGAACAGUGAUGAAAGCCCAUAAUGUUGGGAUUUCUAUGGAUUCAUGGGCUGUAGCCAGUGGCCUGGCUGUAUGGUCAGGUAGAUGAGCAAUGGAAAACGACUAUGAAAGGAAUGCCCUUGUGAGCUGCAGCUGUAUGGAAAUCACUCUGGGAAUUUAAGGCGCUCACUAAAGUAGGAGAUGUAGAUUCCCAUCAGAAGAUGCCCCUUCCAGGAGUGGAAGGUGACUGGAUCCACCAGAUGGACCUGUCAGGUGCUGUCCUUAGAGGUGGCUGCCUGGGCCCGUGAAAUGAGUGGACAUGGGGGAGCUGCAGCAGUGCAGACACGGGAUGAACCUACACAGACUCCUCUUGCACCCUGUGAGGCACAGAAUGCCAACAAGAACUAUUCUGACUGUCUACUGAGGAAACUUGUGUGUGGGGAAGAUUCCCCAGGGGGCAUGCCCUGCUUGUAGCUGGCCAGUGGAUUACUUUGGAGCAAUGCUAGUAGCUCCUGGAGGCUAUACGUGGGUCCUGAGCAGAAGAGACACCCAGUGGUAGAUGCAAAUGCGCAAGAUACCAUUAAAGGAUUGGAACAGAAGAUUCUGCACCAAUUUGAACCACCAAGUUACAUCUCAGACCAAGGGACACACUUUACAGCCCAUGAUGUCCCAUGGUGGGCGAAAAGACAUACCAUAAGAUGGAUGUACCAUUUAGCAUGCCAUCUGCAGAGCAGUGCUUUAAUAGGAAAUUGGAAUGGGCAGUUUAAACAUUGGCUGUCUAAAAUGGGGAAAGAUAAAGGCAUGAGGGAGUUGGCUUACACACCUUCAGAAGUGUGUGCUGCUCACACUGAACAUGAGGGGUGCUAAGACAGGGUAGAUUCCUCUGCUUUUCCGGGGGUCCUGGGGAAGCUGUGGUGGGGGAGGAUGUUAGUGCCACCAUACAGUUCUUCCCCACGUCACUGCCACUUCCUUUUUUCCUACCUGAUUCAGUGGUUCCAGGUCCAGGGCUUCCUCUCUGGGGGCCAGAAGCAGGGAAUAUUUAUAAAAGCAAGAAAGUGUAACCACACCCUAAAUAUUUAUGCCACAAUUCUUAAGGGCCUGAUGGGGUGGACUGUGCCCUCACCCCAUGUGUCCAGGUCAGGGCUGACAGCAGAGCCGUGCUGCCUAGUGGCCAGGACAGCCAGCUGGAUCUGCACCUGGCUAACCCUACCUUCCGUGAGUGUGAGUGGAUUAAGGGGAGGCACUUGUGAGACUGGUAUUGUGCCAGCCAUCUGGACCAGCACAGUAGCCAUGCUUAUGUCCCCUUCACAGGUGGAAAAGUCGGGAUAAAGAUACAUGACAAAUGGAGAGAGGGAUAAACUGUAGCUUAGGAUAAAAGGGAUAGAUAAGUGGCUUAUGCACCGAGAGAAAUCCACAUUUUAUUAUUACCUUGAGAGAGGCUCGGACCAAGAGAAUAACAUACCUCCCAGGCACAGUUCUUAGCCAAAGCAUACCAGCUGUCCAAGAGAGCGAAACUAUGUGUUAGACAAGACCAUCUCUGCUUUUGCAACCGGGCAAGGUCGCAUGGCAGCCUGUAAACUGGAGUUUUAUCACUGGGAGAAACAAGGGUGAUAGAUCUGUUGACAAACUGAACCAAUAUGAACCAAUAUACAAGUGUUUGUAAUGACUUUAUAGGUCAAAUGAGUUAUCACUGUAAAUCUGUGCCCAGCACACACUGGCCUCUCCAAAUGCCAGGCCUAUUUGCAUGGUACUAUUGUUCUGUUGUAUAAAUGCUACAUGAGAUGUACGGGUGUGACGGCAUGAUCGUUUUGCUGUUAAGGAAUCCAUGUUUGCAGACCAGGGAGUGGACUGCAAUAAAAUGCCCUCCCUAUUACUUUUCUUUCUUCCUCCUUUACUACCUUCUUCCCUGAAUUCUUGCUUCCCUGGACUCGUCCUCACCAAUACAACAGCACAGUAGCUGUUUAGCUCCAUCCUGCACCUGAGCUAAGAUGCAGGAGGGGAGGCAGAAGAAGCUGGUAGGGGCCUGGUGCAGGGUGCAGUGGCCCCUCAUCUGAGGCACGAAGGUGGGUCACAUUGAAGAGGAACAGCAGGGGCAAGGCCAGAGCCCAGAGGAGUCCAGUGUGACUCCUGCAAAGGGUGAUCGGGCAGUGACCAGCUUUGCCUGUGCCCACGGCGGCCAGGUUACCUCUGGGCUUCAUCACGUGACCUCUCUGACAAGAGGUUUGUAGAGGCUUUAAAAGAAAUAAAGAAGAUGCUCUUGUAGUUUUCUUGGUGUUUUAUAAAAUACCUCUGGUAAACCCUAGAGCUUAUUAACAAAACAAAUUCACUUCUCCCUCUUCCUGAAUUGGGUGAUGACUUGGUCCACCCCCACUGCUGUGUAGUUACAGCUUGUCUUAGGGCUCUCCCUGAUGCUUGGAGGGAGAGAUGAACUUUAUCUAGGCUGCUCACCCUCUCCUCGGCUGCUGGAAGGCCUCUUGUGACUGCCCUUGCAGCCACAGCUGGGCUGGGCUGGGGCUGCUGAUUACAGGGACAGGGAUGCCUGUCCCCCACCCUGGCCAGGACCCAGGCACAGUUCUCUUAACUUCACCUGUCGGGACUGCACAGCCCUGAGGUUACCUCAGCUUCCAGCUCCACCGACCAGCUUGAGGUUUCCAGAUGCUGUUGUGUUUUUUUUUUUGUCUUCUACUUUUCUGCCAGAAACAGCUCCACUUAAAACGGGGGUGUGUGAAAAUAUAGGGUUUUAUACUUCCAGAUAGAGCAAAGGAUCUUUGAUAUGUAAUGACCGUGUGUGUGUGUGUUGUGAGAAAGAGAGAGAGAGAGAGCGUGGGAGCUCUUUAAUGGUCUGCCUCUCCAAGCCCUCAUUAAAAGGGUAUCAAGAAUUCAUUGCCAAGACUAACAUCAAGAAGGUUUCCUCCUAUUAUUUUCGUCUUGGAGUUUCAUGGUUUCAUGUCUUAACAUUUAGACUUUAAUCCACUGGAGUAUAUUUUUGUGUAUGGUUUGAGAUGGAGCUCCAAUGUCAUUCUUUCACAUGUGGUUAUCCAUUUUUCACAAUACAGUUUGUUGAAGAGACUCUCCUUUUCCUUUUGUUGUCCUUGGCUCCUUAAUCAGAUGAUCAUAUAUGUUUAUUUCUGUGCUCACUCUUUUAUUGUGGUGUGUGUCUGUCAUGCCAGUACCAUGCUGAUUUAAUUACUGUAGCUUUGUAGUCUAGUUAGAAAUCAGGAAGUGUGAUGCCUCCUACCAUGUUCUCUCUUGAUUGUUUAGCUAUUCUGGGUCUUUUGUGGUUCCAUAUGAAUCUUAGGAUUUUUUUUUCUAGUUUUGUUAAAAAAAAACACCAUUGGGAUAUUUAUGGGGAUAGAGGUGUGCCAAGGAGGAGAGACACCUCUGUCUACCACCACCACCAUUGUGGCCAGUACCAGCUUCUGAGUAUCAGCUCCUGAGACUAUCAACAGUGCUGAUGCUGCUGUGCGUGUCUGUUUAUACUUGUCCCUGGAUGUCCACUCAUGGAUCAGCAGACUGAAACUGAACUGACCCAUUUGCCUGCCAGGUGUCCCAACUGGUGGCAGCUGCCCUUCUACAGACACAUUCAGAGUAGAACUCAGGAGCUGCCUGUGGCUCCAGGCCCAGCACAGUUUCUUCUCCCUCAACCCUGUCCUGGCCUCUCCUUUCAACUGCCCUGUUACCAGGGCACUGAAUCUCUCCCCUCGUGUCCCUCUCGCACGUCUGAAGCAUUUCACUUGAUGUCAGGGGGCACAGCUUGCAGCAGCUGGGUGCACAGGGGCAGUGCACUUAUUUGCUAUGAGAAUCAAGACAGUCGCCCCAUUCCUUAAGGACUUGCUAUGAACACUGUAAAUGUCACAGGGACCUGUUCAUUGGCUCCUACAGAUGUGGAACUUGAGGUGCAGAGGGAAUGAGCCCAAUGACCUUUGUGGAACGGUGAGGGUUGGGUGGUGCUAUAGGAAGAUGGACCAGUGGCCCCGCUGUUCCUGCCACCCCCAUUCACUCUGUCCCCCAGUAGCCCCUUCUACAGCCAUCUGUGUGCCUUAACUUCUGUGCUCCUCACCAGGCCCCUGCUCUGUCAGCCCAGGUGUGCAGUGGGCCUACCUGUGGCCCAGCAGAGAGGAUUCUGGACUCCCUGACAGGGCUCUGGGGUAGAGCCUAUGAGCAGAGUCUGUGGCCCAGGACUUCACAGGGCCUAUCUGGGUACCAACCCCAGCCUCCUCAUCCAGGUUGUGGCAUCUCAACAUGGAGCCACCUGAGGACAUGGUGCCUGGACAGAUAUGGAAGAGGCCACCCAAACCUCCUCAGGUCUCUGCCUGAUAUGCUUUUGCAGGAUAAGCCUCCAGAGGAGGAGCCCACAGAGCCUGUCACCCCUUAGGAGGUGCUCACGGAGCCUGUCACCACUAAGGUGCAGUCCACGGAGCCUCUCAUCCCCUCAGGAGGAGCCCACAGAGCCUCUCACCCCUUCAGGAGGAGCCAACAGAGUCUGUCACCACUCAGGUGCAGCCGACUGAGCCUGUCAUGCCCUCAGGAGGAGCCCACGGAGCUUGUCAUCCUUCAGGAGGAGCCCACGGAGCAUGUCAUCCACUCAGGAGGAGCCCACGGAGCCUAUCAUCCCCUCAGAAGGCACCCAUGGAGCCUGUCAUCCCCUCAUUAGGAGCCCACGGAGCCUAGCAUCCCUCAGAAGGAGCCAACGGAGCCUGUCACCACACAGGUGCCGCUCCCCGAGCCUGUCAUCCCCUCAGGAGGAGCCCACGGAGCCUGUCAUCCUCUCAGGAGGAGCCCUUGGAGCCUGUCAUUCCCUCAGGAGGUGCCCACGGAGCCUGCCAUCCCUCAGGAGGUGCCUAUGGAGCCUGUCAUCCCUCAGGAGGAGCCAACGGAGCCUGUCACCACUCAGGUGCAGCUAUCUGAGCCUGUCAUCCUCUCAGGAGGAGCCCAUGGAGCCUGUGAUAACUCAGAAGGAGCCCACAGAGCCUGUGGUAACUCAGGAGGAGCCCACGGAGCCUGUGGUGACUCACGAGGAGCCCAUGGAGCCUGUGGUCCCUCACGAGGAGCCCACGGAGCCAACAGUGCCUAAGGCUGCCCCAACACCUGUCAGCCCUUACCUGAUACCGUGCCUUGUCCCAGCGCUCUUUGUGUUACUGUUGCUAAUCUUAUGCAUCUGGUGCUGCAAGCAGGUGAGGGAGCCCUACCCACACAGCCCUGUGCCCAAUUCUCCAGUACCCUCUCAGGUACCCUGGCACCUGCCUGCCCUAGGACCCUGCUCUAAGGUCAUCACCUGACCAAAUGCUUAGGUACAGAUGCUGCCCCCCCAUCCCUGGGCCCACACAGCUGGAUGCUGAGGGGCUCUGCACCUCAGGCUUGCCUCAAGGAAGUGGCCUAUGAGAUGCCAUGGCCACUGGGGAGAAGUGACCCAGGCUCUGAGACGGGGCUGCCUCACAGGAGCCAGUGCUCUGCGGGACUCAGGUGGACAAAGUCUGGGGAGAGACCUCUACUGUGGAGGGGAAAAGGGAUUCCGAAGGGGCAAAAAUGGCCACAAAGGGAGAAGCAGGUGCCCCAGGAUUCCUGUCCUCUGGGGCAGCUGUGCCUGUCAAACCUGAUGUGGCCUCUGUCCAUUCCUAGAGACUUGUCAUUCCUUCCCAGUCAGUACUCUGGGCCAGGUUGUGCAGGGACCUGUGUUGUGCAUGGGACAGAAAUAGAACAGCUGCAUUCCUGCCACAGCAGCUCCAGGUCAUGUCUGGCCUGCUGUUGGUCCCUGGGGUGCCUAAACAGAGCAACAGCAAAGGCCAGAGGCUGGCCCGGGGCGGGGUGGGUGCAGAGGUGCUGGCCAGCCGGCCCCGGAAGGAAGUGUGUGGGGCUCUGGGAGAGGGAGGACCUGGAAGAGGUGGGAGAGGGUGGCUCCAACAAGAAGCCAGCAGGUCCCAGGCGGGUGAAGGGGGCCGCGAGGGCAGCAAGUCAGGCUGUGGGGUGGCCUUCCCCGAGGGCGGGGCACUGGGGAUGGGGGCUCAUGAGCUGGGGAGAGCAGGAAGGGAAGGGGGAGUGACUCCUGGGUUCAUACGACAUGAGGGCUGUCGAUGAACACCCUGAGUGGGACGUCUCUACCGGGAGCAGCCGCCCGAGCCUGGCUGUGAGGGAUGCCCAGCCCAGGUGAGCACAGAGCCCAUGGACCAGCGAAGCAGGCAUGGCUCACCUGCCGUGGGACCCCAACCAGGGCCCAUUGCUGGGGCACAGCAUCCCGAGGCAGGGAACGAGUAUCUGGGAUUAGUGGGAGACAGGCCUCCCUGCCCAGGGCUAUACCCUGCAUGGGUGCAGUGUAGCCUGGGGAGACCAAUUCGCCAGUGUCAAGUGAACACAGCCCUGUGCCUGCAAAUGCUCACAUCCCUGACAGCCCUGCUUCAAGUUACAGAGCCCCAGGACCAGGUUUCUCUAAGGAGUGCUGCCUUAGGGAAUAAAAGAGACAUGGUAGAGUUUCUUGCCCUUUUGGGGAAGAGCCAUAUUGCAGACUAAAAGGAGUUUGCUGGUUUUUUCCCCUGGAGGACUCUCCCCUAAGAUACAGGGCACUACUCCUUUGUCCUUGAGUUCUCCCAGCAAACAUUUGCUGAGUGGCCAGUACAUGACUGGUGCAGGGCAACAGAUACCGUAUCGCUGCCCCAGGAGCUGCCCUGCCAGGUAGGAGACACUGUUUUCUCCUCCUAGGACCCACAGUUGGGUGACCGGAUAUGCCCCACGGUGAUUGUGUCUGGGUACCUAGACAGGGUAAGAGCUAUAGAGGUGAGAAGGGCCCUAGGGAGAAGCUGAGAUGCUGGGCGGGGCUGAGGGAGGACGGGGGCAGCCCAGAAGGCACAGCCUGGGCAGAAGCCUUUGCAGAAGUCCCUUCAGCAGACUGAGGGCCAGAGCCGGCUGCAGGGCCCUUGAGGCCCACUGAGAGGAGGGUUGACGGGGUGUGUGGAGGGGUCUAAAAGAAUCCCGCUCCCAAGGAAGAGCUAGGGCCACACCCAGUGGGUCUAGCAAAGAGCCAGAUGGGACUCUCUCCCCUCCUUUGGAGGCAGCAACCAAGCUGCAGGCUUCCUGACAGCCACAUCUGCUUUUCAGGGCCAACAGGACACAUUGGGUGACUUCGCCCACAGCUGCACGCAGGGCCCACUGAUGUGCUGUUAGUGCAGGAACAUGGUAAGCCGGGCAUAGGGAUGCUCCCCCUGCACUAGGGGCCUUUGCUUUUUGCCCCUGUGCAUUUCACUCAGGGACUGAUGGUCAGAGAGUCCUGUCCAGGCAUCUGCCAAGGAAGACGCCCAAGACAUGGAGGCAUGGUGCUCAUGAGCUCCCCAGCUGGCCCUGGGCAUGGCACCCAUGCAGUCCCUUGCACUGUGGACUCAUGGAUGUCAAGAAAAUUCCUUAUCUAGAGCAUUACCCAACUCUUCAAAACUGAGCUAAAAAGGGCUACAGGGAGGUAGGCCAGCCAGGCUCUGGUCUCCCAGGUAUCAUCCCUCUCCUCUGAGCCCCCCACCCUGGGGCUGUGCUGGGUCCCCCCACCCCACCCGCUGAGACUCAGGACUCAGGAGUGGAUGGGAGCAUGGCCAAGCCCCCUCAGUACUGCCUGGAUGACAAUGACUGGUUUUUCCAGGUAGUAAAUAUUCUCAUAUCAUUGCCUGUGCAAUGGGGGGAAUCCCAAAUAUACAAUUGUCGCCUGGGAAUUCAGUUAACAGUGACAAUUUUUACUGAGUUCUCCCUCAUGGGACAGAUGCUAGCCUCAGAAAUGUACAUAUUUCCCAGUUUUAAUUCUCCAAGUAACUGCACAUGUAGGUACUAAUACCAUCCCCGGUUUACCAAGACAGCCCUGACACACAGACAGGACAAACGCCUUGCCCUAGGUCACAAGGCCUGGAGGUGGCAGAGCUGACUGGAACCUCGAGGCCUGGCUCCUCCCUUCUCACUGCCCUGCCUGCCUUUCGGGGCAGCAUUCAUCACUUACAGUGGCUUUACCCCCAAAUUGACAGAGGACUGCCCUACUCAGACCCUGGGGCCAAGGACAGCAGUGGUCCUGGCUCACCCGGGAGGCAUGUCUGAGAUUCCUCAUGUGUAGACUCCUUUCACUGAGCACGCCAGGGGACCCAGAGGCCAUUACUCUCCCAACAUCUAUCUGAGGGCUACAUGGCCACAUUCAGGGAACCCCAACUCUCAGCAGCUGGGCAGGUGGGCAUUUAGAGGCUGUGAGCAUUAUCAUUCUCUUUCUAUACCAAGAGGUCCUUGGAAGUGGCUGCCUCCACAGCCUGUCACCCAUCUGCAGGUGCCCCACUCCCCUGGCACUAGCGGCCUGCAGCAGCUCAUCCCUGCAGCACAGUCAUGGACAGGCCCUGCACAGGGUUUGGGCUGCAGUCGCAGUCUUAUCUUGUCUUCCCUGCCCUCAAAUGGCAGCAAGGGAAGUCAUAACAAGAUCUGAGGAAAGGGAGUCCAGAGCCAGGACAAGGGGCUGCCUAGGAAAGGUAGGGCGGAUUUUGAUGCCUGGACAGAGUCUCAAAGGAGGAGCCCAGGCUGGAGACCAGCAUCCAGGGACAGGAGGGCAUCCAUAAAGGCCCACCCUGCCGGUCCUGCUGGGUCCUGAACUUGACUCCUUUGAACCAAGGAAACCAAAGCCUUCUCCAAAUUCCAGUGGCAUCUUAGUGAACUUCUCUGUCUACUCUUCUGUGAGUAUAGGCACAUUUGCCUUGAUUGUUUGUUUAUAGUUUAUGAUUCGUAGUUAAGACAGAAACAGUAGCCAAGACAGAAAGAAUUUGUUCACCAUGAGGAUUUAUUUGUUAUCUUUCAGAAAGUUGCAAACUGUUGAGAGUUGGACUUGAUUAAUGAUUGUGCAUGGAGACCCCAAUACAGAAUGUGAUUGUUGUUAACCAUUUCAUCAAUAAGUAUGAGAGCUGCCUUCUCGGCACCACUCUUGCGCUGUCACGCCUUGAGUCCCCUGGCUGGUCCUUAGGUCUUCGACGACCAAUCGCGUCUCUUCCCUCAUCUGCGGAUCAGAGACAGGGAAGGGGCCCGACAAGUGGCACCCGAACGGGGACCUGAUAGACGGUCAGAACUUAGGGCAAAGAACCUCUGCUUGGGGGCACUUGCAAUUCACAAGUGGGGAAUGCACUGAAGAUCGUCGAUUUGGUAAGAUUCCUGGGAAAGUGCGCGCAGGGAACAGGAUCAAGCCGUCAGGGACACUAUAACGGGCCAAACUGAAACUAAAGCAGCUAAACCGGAGGAUUAUUUAAAAUUACUCCGUGCCCUCCUAAAAACAUCAGGAGUGAAAACUUCUAAAAAGGAUUCUGCUCAACUCUAUAAAUAUAUUUAAAAAUAUUGUUAUUGGUUGCCACCACAAGGGACACUUAAACAGGAUGAUUGGGAGAAUGUAUUAAGAGAUUUUUAAAAAGCCGACAGAUAGGGAAACGUCAUCCCUGUGCCUGUUUGGUCUUUAUGUAAUUUGAUCACUCUCGCCUUGCAGCCUUUGCAAACCCCCACUGUCUGAAACCAAGUCAGACACACAAGAGUGGGAGAGAGAACUUUUAGAUGAUGUGGAAAAAUCAAGCAAGCGGUCUUCAUCCCCACAUCCACCUGACUCCUCUUUGUCCUACUCUUCCUCUUCUUCAGAGACUGAUGAUGAGAGUUCUGUUUGUUCCUCUCAUCGUAAAAAAUCUCUUCUCUGUUCCUGCUACGUCUCCUUUCGCAGGCAGGAAUACGUAAAGCCCAGAGGGAGGGUGAUAUAGAUGCUUACCUGACACCCUUAGUAGCACCAGUCAAUUUAACUCCUUUUGGUCCAGGUGAGGAUCCUGACUUUCCACAAACACUUUAUACACCUAUUCCUUACAAGACAUUAAAAGAUUAAACAGGCUAUUUCUUCAUAUGGUACUAAUUUUCCAUAUGUUGUGGGUCUCUUGAGGGGGUUGGCAGAACAGCAAAGAAUGAUUCCUCAAGAUUGGGAUUUAUUGGCUCGUACUUGUUUAGACUCCUCUGAGUUUUUACAAUUUAAAACGUGGUGGUGUGAGGAAGCCAAAGCACAAGCUUUAAGAAAUCAGUGUGACAAUCCUCCAAUUCUUAUAACUGCUGAACAACUAGCAGGACGAGACUGGCUGCCGAUAGAAAGACAAGCUGGGUAUGAUGACACGUAGUAGUUGGACACAAAGAAUUUUCCACAAGCCCGUGGAAUUCCCCUGUAUUUGUUGUAAAAAAGAAAUCGGGAAAUUGGAGACUUUUACAAGACUUCAGACAAAUUAAUGCAGUUCUUAAACCUAUGGGACCUUUACAACAAGGCCUCCCUUCGGCUAUGGUUCCAAAAGACUGGAACAUGGCUGUAAUUGAUCUUAAAGAUUGUUUUUUUACAAUUACUUUAGCUAUAAUAGACAGGGAAAAGUUUGCUUUUACCGUCCCUUCUUUAAAUUUGCAGGCACCUUCAGAAAGACUCCAAUGGAAAGUACUUCCUCAAGGAAUGUUAAACAGCCCUACAAUUUGUCAAAAUUAUGUGCACAGAGCUCUUCAGCCUAUAUGUGAAAAACGGCCUUCAGUUUAUAUCAUUCAUUAUAUGGAUGAUAUUCUCAUAGCCCUACCUAAACAUCUAUCUCUUACCAAUAUUCUCAAUGAGACUGAAACUGAAUUAAAACAAUGGGGAUUACAAAUAGCGCCAGAUAAAAUACAAAUACAAUACCCAAUGAAUUAUUUGGGAAAGAAAAUUCAAUAAUCCCUCAGAAAAUUCAGAUUAGGAGAGAUCAUCUUAAAUCUUUAAAUGAUUUUCAAAAGCUCUUAGGAGAUAUUAAUUGGAUCUGAUCAUUAUUAGGAAUUCCAACUUAUAAAUUACAACAUCUUUUAAUACUUUAAAAGGACCCUCAGAUCUUAAUAGUCCUAGAGACUUAACCUCAAAAGCUGAGGAAGAACUCAAGUGGAUAGAACACAUUCAAAAAGCUCAAUUAUCAAGAAUUGAUUUACACAAACCCUUACUUUUAAUAAUUUACUUUACUCCUCAUUCUCCCACAGGAUUGCUCUGUCAAUGUGAUGGUUGGUGAGAAUGGGUAUUUCUGCAGUAUCAAACUAAACCCUCGUUACAACCUUACAUUGACAAAGUAGCCUCCAUUAUCCUGAAAGGAUGACAGAGACUAAGACAGAUGAUUGGUCAAGACCCUCACUCCAUUAUUCUUCCCUUAUCUAAACAAAAUAUUAUGCAGGUAUUUCAAGAAAAUACUCAUUGGCAAAUAGCAUUUUCAGAUUAUUUAGGAAAUAUUGACUGUCAUUACCCUAAGAAUAAAUUAUUUUCCUUUUUUCAGCACCAUCAAUGGAUCCUUCCUCAAAAAACUUCUCCUAAUCCAUUAAUAAAUACUGUUAUCUGUUUUACAGAUGGUACAAAAUCUUUUAAAGCAGCCUAUACAACUUGUUCUGGUUUGUCAAUAACUUUUCAAAUGUCUUUUACCUCUACACAACAAAAUGAGUUAUAUGCUGUAUUGCAAGCUCUGCAAGAUUUUCCAAGUCUUCUCAGUAUUGUUACUGACUGCUUAGGUUGCUUUUUCUGUUCCUCUAUUAGAAGCUGCAACAUUGGGCACCGUAUACAGUCUCCUAUUAACAAUAUUUUCUCAAUUACAGGUGUGUAUCCGUCAACGUCUAUAUCCCUUUUUCAUCACUUAUAUACGAUCACAUUCUCAUUUACCAGGUCCUUUAUCAUACUGUAACGAUAAAGUAGACAAGCUUGUUUCUUUAAUUACGCACCAGCUUAACGAUAUCACGACCUGACUCAUGCUCCUUCCUUCACCUUACAGAAGCGUUUUUCUCUCACUGCAUCUGGAGCUCACAAUAUCUUGAAUUCUUGCCCAACCUGUUCUCAAAUUAAUUCUCCUCAUUUGCAAGCAGGAACUGUUCCCAGGGGAAUGCACUCUAAUGCCCUGUGGCAAAUGGAUGUUACUAUUGUUCCUGAAUUUGGAACUCUUAAACAUGUUCAUGUUUCUGUUGAUACUUAUUCUUCAUGGGCGACAGCUUUACCAGGAGAAUGAUCUCAUCAUGUUAUUACUCAUCUUUUACAAGCAUUUGCAGUUCUAGGCGUUCCUGCCACCAUAAAAACUGACAACGCUCCAGUUUACCUUUUAUCUACGCUAAAGAAAUUUUUUCAGCUGUAUAAUAUUACUCAUAAAACAGGCAUUCCUUACAAUUCUACAGGUCAAGCUCUAAUUGAACAUCGUCAUCUUACUCUUAAGCAUUAUUUGUUAAAACAAAAAGGGGGAUUACUCCCUGAUAUGAUAAAAUUAACUGCAAAUCAACGCUUAAAGCAUGCUUUACAUGUUCUUAAUUUUGAUCUCUUAAAUGGUGAUAGACGAUCAGCUAUGGAAAUACAUUUUUCUGACAAUAUUUCUUUUCCUGAAACAACAGCAGUUCCUGUGUGGUGGUCUCCAAUAGGUUCUUCACAGUGGUAUAAAGGUUAUAUCAAAGUGUGGGGCAAAGGGUUUGUUUGUGUCAUUACAGAGGAUCAAUGUUUGAUUUGGCUGCCCAGAAAAAGCAUUAAGAUACGAUAUGAAGAAGAAUUCCCAACAUCAACAUCCUCUGGAAGAGCUGCUCCAGAGGAUGGCCACCAACAAACUUCACCACUGGAAUGAAGCUUCCUAGAUAGUGAAGUUUGUAUUUCUAUUUUUGGUGAUAGCAUUCAUACAUGUACACACUGCACAAGCUUGCACUAUUACAGCUAGUGUGAGCAGUCCUCCAUAUUUAGGCUGAGUAGUAGUCCUUCGGUGUGUAUCCACCUGUUCUACUCCUGUAGGUCCUAUGGUAUGGAAAAAAGAUGCCAAAAAGAUAUAUAGACAAAAGUAUGGAGGAAAACUUGGAUGGAAUAAUGCAACUGAUGAGUCUAAAAGAGAUAAUACUCGCUAUGACAUUUAUAAAACAGUUUUGACCAGAAAUGAUAUUGGCAAUUAUUAUUGUGAGAAAUAUUAAAAAGGAGCUCCUGAUAUAUUAUAUAAAAGUAGUUAUGUCUACUUAGACAUAUCACUCGCUCCAGAGAGGGAAUUUUCUUCACCUAACAUGUGGUUACAACUUGCAAGUCGAGGAUUGAACAAGUCAUCUUUUGUGUAGCAGGAGAUUCCUCUUAUUAGUGGAUUAUUAAAGAAAAAUUUGAUAGGUAUAGGACUCCCUUUUUCUGUUUUCACUAAUAUUUCAGGAAUAAACAUUACUCACUCUCCUGAAGUUCUUACUCAUGAAAUUCAAUUGAACUUACCUGUCAGUACUACUAUGGUUUCUGAGUGUAUAUGUAUUAAUUGCACUCAUAUUCCUUCCCACUGUAAUUCUACUAUUCGUGUAAAAUGUCCUUUUGGAUAGACUUCCAAAUGGCUGGGUGUUUUUAUGCAAUAAAAAAACAUAUCAAGCCUUUUCUUCACAUUAUCAAGGUGUUUGUGGUGUGGGACGUAUUCUCCCUGCUCUUUAGACCAUCCUGGAUAUCAACACAGACAGGUUUCUCGAGCCCUGCCACCUGAUUGUGACGACAAUUUGAAGUUGUUGGAUCCUGUUGCCGUAGCUGUCUGCUGCAUUCAUCUUACCAGUUCCAGGACUCGUAGGAAUGCAGAACGAAAUAUCCAAGAUGGCCUAUGCAUACAGUAAAACAACAAUUCUGACUGCUUCUAUAUUAUCUGAACUCAACCAAGAACUGGGAGAAGUAUGAGUUGCAGUACUUCAAGAUCGCGCUACUAUAGACUAUCUAUUGUUAAAAGAGCAUAUGGGAUGUGAACAGUUUCCAGGCAUGUGUUGUUUUAAUCUGACUUUUCUCAAACUAUUCACAAUCAAAUAGAUAAUAUUCAUCAUAUUAUUGAUAAGUUUUCUCAAAUGCCUGAGUUACCUAACUGGUUUUCUUGGUUUCACUGGAUAUGGCCAGUAAUUGUAGGCCUGCUUCUUUUGUGUAUUUGCCUUCCUAUCUUUAUAGCCUGAAUGCAUCAUAUAGUCAUCAGUUUAUUGAAACCAUUGCAUGCUUAUGUUACUUUCCUGGAAGUGAUGUCUAAGAAAUGAUUGUUCUUUGUAUUGUUACUCAUGAAAGUCCAUGCACUAAAUCUUUGUAUUUUGUGAUUUCUACGAUUAAGGCUGGACAUAAAAGUGAGAGUAUGAAAACAAACAUCAACUAACAUCACUCAACUCCUAAUGCCUCCUUUUUCUGUAUGUUCUCCCCCUGUGUGGCCCCAGAGAUGGCUGGUUAGCCAGAGACGGGUAAGAUUCCUCAUGGGAGGAACAACCUAAGACAGGCACAGUCAUAAAGGGUCAACAGGUGAGGCGGUGGGGGCCAACUGAGGCGAGGCUUAGAACCUUGUCCCCCCAUUUAUAUGAGGCAUUCUUUGCUGCUCUCGUCCAGCUAGGUUAAUACUUAAAAAAUUAAAAACGGAUCUUUCGCUUGAGUUACAACAAUCAUUAUUUCAAAGUUCUUUAAUAAAAAGGGGAAAUGUGGGGAUUUAUAUAUAAAGUACAAAAAUCAUAUGUAUAAGCACAUUUGCCUUGAUGGUUUGUUUAUAGUUCAUGAUUUGUAGUCAAGACAGAAACAGUAGCCAAGACAGAAACAGUUUCUGUGACACGAGUGCUCUUGUAUUGUUCAUCAUGAGAACUUGUUCCUUAUGUUCAGAAGGUUGGAAACUGUUGAGAGUUGGACUUCAUUAAUGAUUGUGCAUGGAAACCCCAAUACAGAAUCUUAUUGUUGUUAACCAUUUCAUCAAUAAAUAUGAGAGAUGCCUUCUCGGCACCACUCUUGCGCUGUCA